ACGGGAGGCAGCAGUGAGGAAUAUUGGUCAAUGGGCGGAAGCCUGAACCAGCCAAGUCGCGUGAGGGAGGAAGGUCCUACGGAUUGUAAACCUCUUUAGCCGGGGAGCAAUAAGCGCUACGUGUAGCGUGAUGCGAGUACCCGGAGAAUAAGGAUCGGCUAACUCCGUGCCAGCAGCCGCGGUAAUACGGAGGAUCCGAGCGUUAUCCGGAUUUAUUGGGUUUAAAGGGUGCGCAGGCGGUCGAUUAAGUCAGUGGUCAAAGCGUGGGGCUCAACUCCAUCCCGCCAUUGAUACUGGUUGACUUGAUUCCGGUCGAGGCAGGCGGAAUUCGCGGUGUAGCGGUGAAAUGCAUAGAUAUCGCGAAGAACUCCGAUUGCGUAGGCAGCUUACCAGGCCGGCAAUGACGCUCAUGCACGAAAGUGCGGGGAUCGAACAGGAUUAGAUACCCUGGUA
rnacentral:rRNA from 1 species